AGCGAACGUUUGCGGCGGGCCUAACACAUGCAAGUCGAACGGGCUAGCAAUAGUCAGUGGCGCACGGGUGCGUAACACGUGGGUAAUCAACCCUUCAGCUCGGGAUAACGCCUUGAAAGGGGCGCUAAUACCGGAUGCGACGCGAGGAGCCUCGGCGCUUCGCGGGAAAGAUUCGCAAGGAUCACUGAAGGACGAGCCUGCGGCCCAUCAGCUAGUUGGUGAGGUAAGAGCUCACCAAGGCGAAGACGGGUAGCUGGUCUGAGAGGAUGAUCAGCCACACUGGAACUGAGACACGGUCCAGACUCCUACGGGAGGCAGCAGUGGGGAAUAUUGCGCAAUGGGCGAAAGCCUGACGCAGCCACGCCGCGUGAGCGAAG
rnacentral:rRNA from 1 species